GUAUUAAAGAACGGACGCUUCCGGC
rnacentral:piRNA from 1 species